rnacentral:rRNA from 1 species
GUCCUAGCCGUAAACGUUGGGUGCUAGGUGUGGGCGGAUAUCAACCCCGUCCGUGCCGAAGCUAACGCAUUAAGCACCCCGCCUGGGGAGUACGGCCGCAAGGCUAAAACUCAAAGGAAUUGACGGGGGCCCGCACAAGCGGCGGAGCAUGCGGCUUAAUUCGAUGCAACGCGAAGAACCUUACCUGGGCUUGACAUGCAGGGUGAAACCCGUGAAAGCGGGCGCUCUUCGGAGCCUGCACAGGUGGUGCAUGGCUGUCGU